rnacentral:rRNA from 1 species
UUUUAUCAGCCAGAACUUCACCUUGGUGAGUACAAGAAUAGUGGGAAUCGGAGGAACUGGAAUAAGAAAGGAGGACCAGACCUAAGGGACAAGAUCAAUUACAAACGUGAUAGGGAUCAAAGAAACUACAGAGAUGACAGGAGGGACAGGGGGCAAAGCAACAACAACAACUCUUUUCACAAGAUUGACAAGAGGAACUACAAGUGCCAUAAUUGUGGUAAUACAGGCCACUUCAGGUCAGAAUGCACCAAGAAGAGGAAGCCGAAUAGCGAAAGGAAUAAUUUUCACAAGGAUGACAGCCGCAAGGGGAAUCAAUCCCCUGAAGCUGCAGGGGUUUACUGA